rnacentral:lncRNA from 1 species
CUGAGGGCCUGGGUUUGAACUUGGAGUCCGUCGGGCCCCAAUUGUUAUCUUCACAGCCACAUCAGCUGGGUGACCUCAGCCAAAUCAGUCUACCUCUGCUCUUGUUUUCUCAUCUGCAAAAUAGAGCUGCGGAUGCCUGCCCCAGGUUGCUGGUGGAGAUCAAGUGAGAGAGUGGAUUGAAAACAUCUUUACAAAGGCCAGGUUUGGUUUUGGAUGUGGGUGCCAACUGCCUACCCUGAAGUCAAAGACCGUCUGGGAAGAGAAGUUCUCUUUGCCUUUCUCCCACGACGAGCGUGUUGCUGAGUUAUUUCCAGGAGCGUGGGGCCACAGGAUUGGCAGCUGCAUCCAACCUCCAGGUCAAAUUUGGCAGAGAACCAAGCAAUCCUGUCAAACAGAAUGCCCACUGCUGCUCCUUCCCAUCUCGAGGAACUGUCUCUUCUCAAUGUUUUCUUUUGAUUUCCUCUGACAGUCUUGCUGCUCUUCCAGAGGCACAGGAACUCAAAAUUGGGAAGGGUUUGAAGGUGACCCCCACGAUCAAGUGCAGUGCCUCCCGCACGCGUGACUUCCAGCCUCCACAUGCACACUUCCAAUAACUGCACACACACCCUCCAGCUCAGGCCUCUUGGAUUUCAGACACUCCAGUGGUUGAAGGGUCGCUAUGUUAGGAUCUCUGAUCUUCCUCUCUAACCAGGCUAUCCUCAGGUUCUAGUUCACUUCUGGGGGUCACCCUGAGCCAAUGUAACCCCUCUUUCCUGUGUCAAUCCUUUAGGUCUUUGAGAAGAGUGGUUGCGUUUUCUCUGACCGUGUCCCACCCUCUGGCCAAGCCUUCAGCUGAAAAGAGUCCCUCAGUUGGGGCGAGUGUAUUGAGUCCUUCAUUCAGAUGAACCCGAUACUUCAGGAGGGGCUGAGCAAUAGGCACUACAGGGGAGCCCUCACCUCCCUUGUUCUGUGCAUAAUACCUCUAUUAAUACAGCCUAAAUUUGGUCUUGCUGAUUUGGCAGCCACAUCAC